rnacentral:lncRNA from 1 species
UCCUAAUAAGAUGUGUCUGUCAUUUUUCCUUUUGGCUUUCGCCCUGUGGAAGCCACAUUGUUCCAUCAGGAUUGUUCUGUCAGAUGAAAAAUCUGUCUACAUUUUACCAUGUGCUUAAAUAAGCAAGACUAAGUAUUAAAUCUGAAGGUUCUGUACUUUAAGAAACAUUUUUACAAGUGGAAAGUUAUUCAGCUUAGAUAGUUCAUCCAUUUUCCAGAGCCUUUUAAACCUGUAUAAUAUAUUGAAUGUCAAAAAGCUAUAAAAUCUCUUUAACUAUUGAUAUCUAUUUGUAGAUAGCAAUAUAAAUCCUGCCAUAAAUUCAAAUAAGUAAAUUACCUUAUCUAAACAAAGAUUUGGAACAUCAUUCUGCUAUUAUAGAGGCCUACCCUUCUUGUUAUAUUGUACACCAAUGAGCCAGAAAAAAAAAAUUUUGACUAUGGUUUUUAAUGAUUGCCAUAGAAGGUCAAUAUUGGAUUCCUCUGAACAAAAAUUGGGCUAAUUAUAAAAAUAUCUACUGUAUACUAUGUUUAUAUACUCUAAAGCUAUAGAAAUAGUACAAUAAGAAUAAAGGAAAAAACACUAUAACAUCAUGGUGGAACUUCUUCAGAUAAGGCCUUAUCUUAGUUAAGGUAUGGUUAACUAUCUAAACUAACAAACCAAAAGUUUAUGUUUCACUGAUGUAAGGUAAAAAUUAAUGUUCACAAUUUGUGACAGUUCUUUUCCAAUUGCUACUUCAGGAACAUGGUCGCUGUUCAUCUUGUACUUUAGUGUCUCUGCAAUAGGUGGCUUUUGAUAUCACCAAGAAAGUUUCCAUCUGCUCCAUGGAAGGAGAAACAACAUGGGAGAUCACCUGAGCCUGGUCUGGAAGGGACUCAAAUCACUGUUUCUCAUAUUCCAUGGACUAGAACUCAGUAUGUUAUUAACAAAAACUGUAAGGGAAGCUGCAAAAUUUAGUCUAUAGCUCAGUGGUCCUAUGAUGGUGAAGGAAAGAAAUGGGUUUUGUGAUGAGAUAGAAGGUCUCUGCCAGAGUCCUAUUUAAUACACCCUUGAAUCUGCAUAUCCCAUCCAUCUUCAUCAUAGUUCACACAGAUGAUCAUUUUAUCCACCAAACCCGUUCACAACAAUGUCUCCAUCCCAGCUGCCACUGCCUUCAUUCAUGCUCUCUUCACAAUAGACUAUUAGCUAGGCAAGCUGCAUCUGGUCUUCCUCUAUUUCUAAUGUAUGUUCCCUGUAAAGGCUAAUAUUUUUAAACACAAAUGACAUGAAAUCAUUUCCAGCUUCAAUGACUCUCAAUUGUCUACAGUGCAAAGCCUUGAAUCUUUACUUUGGCAUUUGAUGCCCAUAAUGAUAUGGCUCUUUUAAAUGUUCCAUAUUCAUCUUCUGCCAGAUCCUAUAUUUGAUUUCAAUGGCACCAGACUACCUGAGCUUUCUGAAACAUGCUGCAUACUUACUUGCCUCCAUAUGUAUAUAUAUUUAUUUAUUCCACCUAAAGCCUUUUUUUCCUUAUUCCAUAAAGGGAAAUCCCGCUCAUUCUUUAAUGGUUAAUUUUUCAUAAAACUUUUAUAGGAAGACAGUGUUUUGUUUUGUUUUUUUCCUUAUAUAUAACCAAAACAUUCCACUAUUCAUAGCACUUACACAAAGCUGUGACUAUUAGUUUAUCUCUUCCCUAGAACUGUGAGAUUCUCAACCUUAUGAAUUAAUCAACCUUUGAUUCAAAGCAUCUAUCAUAGAAUCUGGCACACAAAUGGCUAAAAGAUAAAUAAAAUCCAAGAUUUACCUUGAGUUGGCUAAAUUAUUUUGAAUGAAUGAAUAAUAGUCAAAAGUAUAAGGACGUGGUCUUUCAUGUGAAUGUAAACAUAUUAUCAUGUGGGAAUUCGAAUACAAACUUUAUAGUUUAUGAUUUGAGCUAUUUGGCCAAAACAGUUCUACCAGCCUGAUAAAGUUAAUCUCAAUUUAUUUUAUAGAUAAUCCCUAUCAUUUUCAAUAAAAAACUGUCACUUUCUGGGAUCUUAUGCCACAGACUUUUCUCCAAUCAAUAUUUUUUCUGGCUCAGUAUUUCUAAGGGAUAUUCUCUAAACCUGCCCUUGCUUUUCAUUCUCAUUUUGAUAUUUCAUUGAAAUUAUGCUUUUAAGUUACAUUAUCCCCACUCUAGUGGUGUCACAUGGACAUGUUCAUGAACUGGGGAGGACUUUAACCCUCCCCACUAUGGAUACAAUUGAUUUUGUCACACAAGUUCCCACAAAUAAAUGUAUAGUCUAAGAAACAAAAGAUCCUUUGCUUGCUAUAUGAAUAACUCUGCAGUAAAUUUGGUUCCCAGUUACCAUCAAAUCAUCAUCUGAAUAAUUUCUAUGUAGACAUUUGGGGGCCAUAACUCCUAAGUUCAAAGACAUUCUUAAAGAUUUAAAAGAAUGAAACAUUUUGUAUUCUCUAAAGAGCUCAGUACAAAGUGGCAUAAACAGAGGGCAAUCAAGAAUAAUAAAACCUAUUAAAUGAUUUUUGAAUAACUAUAGCAUAUACCUGGAUACUAGAUAUUGUCACACCUCAUACUAAGUAUGGUUACAAUAUCAAUUCGUUACCCUGAAGCACUUAGAGGAGAAAUACGCAGGGCAUAUUUAGCCAAUGAACUGAUUGAUACUGUGUAUCAAAAUGAGAACGUUUUGCCUCAAUGAAAACUUCACAUUUUAGCCACUUUUGAUUUAUUAAAGAUUCUCAAUCCAGGGUGACUUUAUACCACAUGGAAGAGUUUGUAAUACCUAAGAUAUUUGUGAAUCUCAUAACUUGAGGGGACUUCUGGUGGGUAAAGGCCAGGAACACUUCUAAAUAUCCUACUGUGCACAGCAGAUAAAUCCUUCACAAUUAAAGACUUAUCUGUUACAAAAUGUUAAGUGCCCAAGUUGAAAAACCCUGGUAAAACUAUGGAUUCACACUUAAUUUGAAAGACGUUACUUUUAAAAUUUCUCCAGUGUUUCUCUGGGCUUUAAUGUUUGCCUCAGCUUCCUUCAUUCAUAUAAGCAGUAAACUUAAAAAAACUUUAACUUUUUUUGAUGAGCACAGAAUGAUACCAAAGAGCCCAUGAUUAUGAUAUAUAGCAUCGAGUUUACAUGCUCCUGUUGGAUACAACUCACUUGUGGCUUGUCAAGUGUAAAUAAUGUAGGCAUUCCCCAAUUCACCUAGCAGGCUCAAAAGGAUGUUGUUGUUGUUAUCUACUAGGCAAAAAGAACCCUUGGUUUGUUUGCUUUUCACGAGGUAAUACAAACAAAAACACAAAAACAACAGUGUUUCUCAUGGACUAAAAUAUUUAUGCUGGUUCAUGCUAAAAGAUAUUUGUAAGCUGUCCUUGUAGCAUUUGCUGUGUUUAACUCAAGAGCUUAUCAUUGAUACAUCUCACCUGCCCAAACACCAAAUCUAACCAGGAAACAAGUACUAAAAAUUGUAUCUUAGAGUAAGAGAUUUUAAAUCGCUACAGUAUGGUUCUUCCAGGUAACUCCUACUACCACUGCCUUUGUUCAAGAUCUCAGCAUGUUUAUUUAUGCUUUGUUGUCAGAUGCAACCCCUUGUCCAUCCAUCACUGACCUUUAAUCUAUCACCUGUAUUACUGACAUAGUGACUUUUCUGAUCUUCAAAACUCUGAUCUUCAUAUCUCUAUGUACUGGUUGCCAUUUGGUCUCCACUACUGGUCAUCACUGAAUAAUUUUUAUAUUUAGGCUUAUAAAUUGAAAUAAAUAUAGACACCUGUGUGCUUAUAUAUGCUACUAAUUUUUAGUGGAGUUGACAAGACAUGUGGUGUGAUGGAGCUGAGCCUGAAAGUUGGAAUUUUCAUCAUGAAAGUUCUCCAUGAUUUCUAUAAGCUCCUGCAUGACCAAGUUCUUGUGUAAUUUUUCAAUAUUCUCUCCCACUUCCCCUAUAUACCUGUCUUUUGUUGCCACUGCAUCAGAUAAUGCAUGUCUCCAAGAUUAGCAUUUUCUGAUGACUUCACAUAUCCAUUCAUGCCCUUUCGGUAUCUUCUUUAUUUUAUAAAGACUUCUAUCAAGAAUUUACUUAGAAUAUAAAUUCUAACUCCUAGAUAUACAUCCAUAGGAAUCAAAAAUAGAUAUUGAAACAAAUACUGGUCCAGUAAGUGAAGGUUCAUAGCAGUGUUAUUAACAAUAACCAAAACAUGGAAACAACCCAACUGUCCACCAAUGGAUGAAAUGGAUUAAAAAAUACAGUAUACCUAUGAAAUAGAACAUUGCCCAGUCAUAAAAAUGAAGUGUUGAUGCAUACUACAACACAGAUAAAUCCUGAAAGUAAAUAAAAAGAAACCAGACACAAAUGGUCAGAUAGUGUGUUGUUCCAUUUAUAUAAAGCAUACAAAAUAGGUAUAGCCAAGCCCUUCUUCUUGGCUUCUAAGAGAACCAUGUCUCUCUCUCUUCUUAAGAGAUCAUAGACAUUUGACUCUAAUUGUUUGUUAGUUGACUUGUGUCUUUCAUAUAACUUCAGAUAGAUUGUGAAUUUUGUUCUUGUCUCCCUUAUCAUUAUGUUCCUAAAUUUUAUUUUAUUUAAAUAAGCUUCCUAGCCUGAGAAAAUUUAAUGAUAAAUAUGAAUCUGUUUUUCUCAAUGAAUAAAAUCCAUAAAAUUCUAUUUGUCUCAAAAUGUAUUAGUUUUGAAGAUGUGUGGUAAAACAGUAGAUGGUUAAAUGUACACUGAUUUUUUUUUUUGAGGGCAGAUGGUAGAUAUAUUUGACAUGAUAAUUCAAAAACACAAUGAAUAGGUUAUUUAAACUUAAACACUGGUAGAGAAUUUAUAGAAAUUUCACCAUGGAACUGACUACUUUAUGUAGAUUAUCUACUGCCCUAUUUACUUCUCCUUGCUUACUUAUUGCUAGUGAGUCCAUAUAAUUCACAUUCUUCCUCAGAUAUCAACCUCAGAGAUACCUUUCCAAAAAUCUUAUCUGGACUCCCUAGUACCAUCAUGGAACACCCUGUAUCUAGCCCACUUUUCCUCUUUAAAUUUGUGUGAUUACCUGCUUAGUUAAUAGAAUUUAAAUCUUCCAGAUAAACUCCUUUUAGGCAGGACUUUAUUUUUUCUUCAAAAGAUGACUCUCUAGAGAGUUCUUGUUGUGACUCAGCAGUAAUGAAAUCAACUAGUACUCAUGAGGAUGCAGGUUCAGUCCCUGGCCUUGCUCAGUGGGUUAAGGAUCCAGUGUUCCUGUGAGCUGCAGUGUAGUUUGCAGAUGCAGCUUGGAUCCCUCAGCUGCAGCUCCAAUUGAACCCCUAGCCUGGGAACUUUCAUAUGCCACAAGUAUGACUCUAAAAAAGCAAAAAAAAGAUGACUCUCUAAAACACCUAUAUUUAAUUUCUUAUUUUAUAUCAGUGGGUAAAAAUGAGACAGCAGAGAGGAUUAGGUGAAUC